CACGUAGGAGGCGAGCGUUGUCCGGAAUCAUUGGGCGUAAAGAGCGCGCAGGCGGCUUGGCAAGUCGGGUGUGAAAUCCCGGGGCUCAACCCCGUGACUGCAUUCGAUACUGUCAGGCUAGAGGUAGGUAGGGGAGAUCGGAAUUCCUGGUGUAGCGGUGAAAUGCGCAGAUAUCAGGAGGAACACCGGUGGCGAAGGCGGAUCUCUGGGCCUUAACUGACGCUCAGGCGCGAAAGCUAGGGGAGCGAACAGG
rnacentral:rRNA from 1 species